AGUAGAAAUUCUGGGUCACAUGGUAAUUCUAUGUUUAAUUGUUUGAGGAACUGGCAAACUUUUUCAUAGCAACCACACCAUUUUGCAUUCCUACCAGCAAU
rnacentral:pre_miRNA from 1 species